UUAGCUUGUUCUUCCAGAGCACAUAAGCAAAAAGGAAUCCUGUUCUAUAAGAAAAAAACUCCGGUGGGUUUCAGACAAGUGCUGCAAGGCAAGGCAGGCAGCAUCCCCAUCGCAGGGCUCUCCAGCAUCCAGUGUGUUUGUCAGCACAUGAGCACAGACCAAGUGCUGGGAUCUAUGGUUUCAAAGCAAAAACACAAAGCCGGGACUGCUUCCCUCCGUACCAAUGUUCUCUUUGUAAUUUAUCUUGGCCGGUGAAGAACUUGUGCUUUUGGUUAAUUUUGAUUAGGGAAGCAGCAGUGAAUUCCAGCCCAACUCUGAUGGGACGUGGGGAUGGAAACCGGCGUCACAGAGCACGCAAGCACUGAACCCCUCCCACAGCAAAACCCAUUGCACCAAGGCUGCAGCAUCACCCCAAAGCAAAGCUGUGCUGCAGGGAUGGGGCUGGGAAGGAGUCUGGGUGGUGCCAGGAUGCAAUUGUUCCAAAGAACUCAGCAACCACAACACAACUUCCCCCGUCAUGUACAAAAACAAUCUGCAUGGAAGAGCAGCCAAUUGUCUCCAUUUACAAUCAACGGCGUAAUGCUAAACCAGCAAUGUCUGAGCUGACCGUGAGGAGCCGUCCCCGAGGUGCAGCCGUGCCUGCAGACAAACAGGAUCCAGACUUGGGCUCCAUGGGACUCCGAGACUACCUUGCCCUGUGAUAAGACCCAGCAGAAGGAAGCAAGCCCUGGGGAUUCGCACGAGGCAGUGAAGGCUUGCAGCUGGACGGCAGCAAGCUCCGUGCUUGGAGCUGGAGAGAGAUCACAGGAGAACCCAUCGCUUCCCCUCAGAGAUACCAGCUGGGCCAGCAAGCAGUAACCUGAGAGGGGCUGUGCACAGUUCACUCGCCGUUGCCCAGCAGGUAUUUGUGGCAACGCAUCUCAGAGGCCGGUGGCCACAUCCCUGCAGCAUUCCUUUGCUUCCCUAAGCACUCUACCUUUGAGCUUUGGGUGACUCUGAGCUUUACCAUCACCGAAGGAAGAACUGUGACCAGACACAGGGUUGGGGUAAGCAGAGAAGCUGUUUGUCUCCCCGUUGCACGGCAGGUUGGUGGCAGAGGGAGGAAUGCUCACAGGGCCCCCAGCCCCACGCUCUGCCCAGCUUGGGAACACCAGGCAUUCUGCCUGCUCUUGUGGCUCCUUGCCACAAAUAAAAGCGAUCGUGCUUCGGGGCUGCUCUCUCUUCCCACAGAUUAGCUGCCUUUGCACAUUCCCAAACAAAGCAUUACACUAUGUGAAAAGAAGGCGCAAGCCCUGCAAAGCCCAUCCCGCUGCUGGGACAGGAAAUAUCUCCCAUCAUCUCAGCUAAUCCUCCACCAAUACAAUGAGAAAUGAUGUCCAACGGCCGCCAAAAGAUUAUUAAGUGAAGAACAAAAAUACUGCACCGCCCAUUGCAAUGGAGCCAAAGGCAAUAAAGGGGAAAUACAAGCUGCAGCCAAUGGCUGGAAGGAGGAGGGGGUGAGGAGUGGCAGAGCUACAGGCAAUUCCUUCUGCAAACCCCAGCGCUGCAGUACAGGUGCUUUGAGGACAGCAGCUUAACCCCAGCUCCCCAGGAGGCCACUUCAGCCUUUUUGCUGUACCAGCAGAUGCGUUUUGCUGGCAGACAGGCAGGCACGCAGGAGACGACCAAAGGCCAACGCGCUGAUGUGAGAGCGGGAGCAGAACGGAGCACACAAAGCUGCCAGCUAUGAGCCGAGCACCAGCAAGGCCUCCUACAGUGCAAACUUGGGUAACACCACAGCAGCGCUCCAGCUUGACAUUGCCUUUUCUGGAUGCUCGCCAGCUUCUCUCCUUAGGUUGGCUGUAGACCACAGAGACGAUGGACCAAGUUUAUGAUGCACCUCGAGACCUGCCUGCAGGUAACAGAGCUGCUCACCAAGGCAUUACUAGCAAGGUCCUACCUGUACAUCCGACCUCAGCUCAUUUUCCUCUUUUGCAGUACAUUAACAGAUUGGCUUUAGUACAAGAGAUCCAGCUAGCACAGCCAUUCUGCAGCCACCCCCAGCAAGCUGCUGCUUCCUACACUUCAGCACCACACCGGAGAGAGCUCUGGGUUACCUGGGGUGAUCCUGCACAGCCCAGCAUCAGCCACACCAGCUCCUUCCAGGAGAAUGACAUCUGAACGCUCAGAACAAAAAUCUCACAUCUCCUUUCUGCUCUUCUCCUCGGUGCUUGAAAAGGGCUGUGAAAUUAAACGAGGCACCUGGAUGGACAGCACUGAGCAAAACUUGGCGUUCGCUUCGAUAGCGGCCUCCAAAAAGCAUUUCCCAGUUUGAACAGCUUGUUUUUAAAGGCAGUAUGGGCUUGAGAGUUUUGCUUAGAUUUCUAACAAGUGCAUUUAAGGCAAAGAGAAUUAGCUCCUGCGGAAGCAGCACAGGUGCUGCUCCUUCUCUGUGCUCCCUGGGAGAGCUGUUCCACCACCAGUGGUUUUGCUGAGCUCCCCCAACCCGUGCACAGCCCCAUUGUGCUGCUGCUAUGGGGAAAAAAAAAAAAUAUCAGGAAAAAUUCACUCCACCAAGAAGGUGUAACGUGAUUUUUCUGUCCAUGUGAUAAGAGUACACAGCCAGUUCUAACCCUGUGCUUGAACUCAUGCUUUCGGAAUUAAAAGUGGAGUUUAAGUUUCAUGCUCUAUCUCAGCAGAGAACACACACAUUUCAAAGCCCACCUUCACCAUUCUCACAUUUGAUCUUCUCAACAUACCAAAGCAGUGCCCCAUCUCAGAGCUCAAACCCUACCCACACCCCAAGGAGAUGCUUUGCUGGAUAUGGUGGUCCAGCCCUGAUUGCCCACACAGCAUAAUGACAAUCCAAACACCCCAGUUGGCUCUCAGCCCACAAACACCCCCAGUGCCCCUGCACACCUAUUUUUCCACAGCUCCUUCUGCAUCCAAACCCAUUUCCCUUAUCCUCCUUCAGGCAGCAGGUCUCCAGUCCCAGGGAGAACUGUGCUUUGUGAUAGCAGAGCUGCUUGCCAAUCAACAGCUGAAGCCAGACUUAAUCCCCCGAACAGACAAAGGCUGGGGGAACAAACUCAAUUUGUUUUAAUUUGUUGUUUGCUUACAUUUUUGGUAAUGAACACAGAGAUCUUGGCACCCCGUGGAGCACAAUCUCUCCUGGGUGAGCUUUUAAUUCCUUCUCCUCAUUGCCAUGCAGUGAUAUUAACUGUUCCUCUCACUUCAGGGAAGCAUUUCUGUUGUGUGCUUUGGAGAGCUUGCCGACUCAUUUCCUGCUCUGCAGCACUGCUGGGCACUCGUGUCCUUCCAAAACACUUGGGAACACCUAUGGAUAAGCUGCAUGCAGGGCAAGAUAGCCCCAGGCAAUUAAGAUUCAGGGAAUUUGCACAGAGCUCACAUAACACAAUACCUGGAUUGCUGCUGAUUCCCCAGGCACCCCACUGCCUGCCCUCCAGACUGAGGACAGUCUGUGCUCGGAUGCUCACAGAAGCACUUGGGAAGAUGCAGGGACCAGCUGCCUCUGAGUAAGUGCCUGGGUCUCAUUUUUAUUGAUGCUGGGUAGAGUCACACAUUACUGAACAUUGGGCUGCUUUCCUUGCAGUUCAGCAGAACACACGAAUAUGUGCAAAGCCUGGGUCUGGGGCCCCUUCGCAGCACCGCAAUUAUGCUAAUAACGAUAAUAAAAAGAGGAUGUUCCCUCCUAGAAAGCUGAGUUUGAGCAAACGGCCAGACAGGACCAGAGCAAAGGAUUAUCCUUAUCACCACUUUCUGUGACUCAUCUCAGCCUCCCCAGAGGUCACCACUGCUGGGAAUGGUCAUCACCCCUCUUCCCACAGCCCUCCUGUGGUGCUGCCCUGCUGCAUCCCUCUGCCCCACACCUUCCCAUUAGAGGAACCAUCCAGUUCUGUGAAUAAAGCAAACUUUAACGAGGGAGAGUCCUGUUGCUAUUAAAGUAAUUAAAUCCUCCAAACAGUUUCAUGAAUACUUGAGACAAAAACUGGGUUCUGACUCCUGGCUCAGACAUCCAUUCAUUUCUGCAAAUCGUUCUACAACACAUCAUUAAGAUCUUCGGGGAACACUAAAAUGAUUGCACCAAAAUGGGGAGAUCUAAUGCCUUCCAGGAAAUCUUAAAGGUGUUUUCCUUAGGCACGCUCAGUCGAUCUUUUGCAAUACAGUGACCAAUCUGUGAUGCUUGGGUAUUAUAUUCCCACUAUAGAUCCAUUGCCAGAUUUUCCAUAUGGGAGUAAAGCUGAAAGGUGGCACAGAGGGAAUGCACACCUCAUCUCUCAUCAGGCUCAACAUCUGACAGAGGCUCUGAACUGGCAGAGCUGUUGGAAGUCAGCUGCCCUCCAGCAAGGUGCAGAGCCAAGUGAGGCACACCUCAGCCCUGCUGCUUUGGAUGCUGCUGGGUACACUCAUUGCAUGGGUCUGAUCCCAGCUCCAACCCCACCUAUCCGUAUCCUCCCCGUGAAGCUGCUGUUGCUGUUAAGCAGAACCAUUUCCUCCUGGUGGCCUUACACCGAGGGUGCUUGCUGGCAGAGAUUGCUCCCUAUUAAACUGUCAGAGAGCUGCUCCAGGGUUUGAAGCAGUGACAUCAGGAUUGAGGGUGGCUUUCACUCCAAAGACUGCUGACAAGGUUCCCUGUGCAGAAGCUUCACCAGCCCAAAGCUCCCAAAGGACAGAGGCAAAGUGCCACCGUGCAGCAGAGACCUCUGCCACCCCCCGACUGCACUUGGAAGUCUGCAGAGAGCCUAAGAUGUACGUGCUCCUGAUUUUGACACCUGCCAUAGAAGUGUGCACACAGAACAUACAGACUCUCUCCCCCUCCCCCCUACCAGCUCCCACAGGUGACAGCUGGCAGCGUGUUGAGGAAUUGCAAGAGUCCUGUUGGUAAAUCCUGUCCCUCUUGUCUUUUAUAUGCAGUAACAGAUUGCAUGCAGCCAGCCUAAGCCAACCCCAAACCCUCCCAGGCAGAGCUGCGAGCUGCCCAGUCAUCCUUCUUUCUCUAUUUAUGCACCUGGUGAUCUACGUGCAAGCCUCACCCACAACAAAUCCUGCCCAGAGCGUGCUCCCCAGCCAGCAGGGAGGGUGUUCCACCACACUGGCUUCCAACCCAGCUCAUCCUCCAGCAGGCUCCCAGCACCUCCCUGCCUGGCAGUGCUGACACACAUGCUUCUUCCCUCCUCCAUUAUCCAGAACCUCUGGGAUUAUGAAACACUUUGGGUUUGAGUGUUAUUUAUUUAUUUAUUUUAGGCCUGGCAAAAUCUCACUCAAUAAAGCUUUCUGUUCUGGCAGUGAA